rnacentral:SRP_RNA from 1 species
ACAUGGGUAAGUCUUGUACGACCAGCUCCUUUCGAAUCCUCCAGGACAGGAAUGUAGCAAAGGUAGUUAGUUGUAGCGGUGCGAUAUAAGUAGCUUGCCCACC